rnacentral:rRNA from 1 species
CACGUAGGGGGCAAGCGUGUCCGGAUUUAUUGGGCGUAAAGGGCUCGUAGGCGGCCAACUAAGUCGGAUGUGAAAUCCCCAGGCUCAACCUGGGAACUGCAUCCGAUACUGGAUGGCUUGAAUCCGGGAGAGGGAUGCAGAAUUCCAGGUGUAGCGGUGAAAUGCGUAGAUAUCUGGAGGAAUACCGGUGGCGAAGGCGGCAUCCUGGACCCGGCAUUGACGCUGAGGAGCGAAAGCUAGGGGAGCAAA